rnacentral:rRNA from 1 species
CGGGGGGAGCAAGCGUUGUUCGGAUUUACUGGGCGUAAAGGGCGCGUAGGCGGCCUCUGCAAGUCGACUGUGAAAUCUCCGGGCUUAACCCGGAACGGUCAGCCGAUACUGCAGGGCUAGAGUGCAGAAGGGGCAACUGGAAUUCUCGGUGUAGCGGUGAAACGCGUAGAUAUCGAGAGGAACACCUGCGGCGAAGGCGGGUUGCUGGGCUGACACUGACGCUGAGGCGCGAAAGCUAGGGGAGCGAACGGGAUUAGAUACCCCGGUAGUCCUAGCCUUAAACGAUGAAUGCUUGGUGUCUGGGGUUUUAUAGUCCCCGGGUGCCGUCGCUAACGCUUUAAGCAUUCCGCCUGGGGAGUACGGUCGCAAGACUG